rnacentral:rRNA from 1 species
AGAGUUUGAUCCUGGCUCAGGAUGAACGCUAGCGACAGGCUUAACACAUGCAAGUCGAGGGGCAGCGGGGUAGUGCUUGCACUACUGCCGGCGACCGGCGCACGGGUGAGUAACACGUAUGGAACCUGCCCGCAGCAGGGGGAUAAGCGGAAGAAAUUCCGUCUAAUACCGCGUAAUAACGUUGGGAGGCAUCUCCCGAUGUUUAAAGAUUUAUCGGCUGCGGAUGGCCAUGCGGCGCAUUAGCUAGUCGGCGGGGUAACGGCCCACCGAGGCGACGAUGCGUAGGGGUUCUGAGAGGAAGGUCCCCCACACUGGUACUGAGACACGGACCAGACUCCUACGGGAGGCAGCAGUGAGGAAUAUUGGUCAAUGGCCGAGAGGCUGAACCAGCCAAGUCGCGUGAGGGAAGACGGCCCUACGGGUUGUAAACCUCUUUUGUCGGGGAGCAAAGAGAGCCACGUGUGGCUCAUUGAGAGUACCCGAAGAAAAAGCAUCGGCUAACUCCGUGCCAGCAGCCGCGGUAAUACGGAGGAUGCGAGCGUUAUCCGGAUUUAUUGGGUUUAAAGGGUGCGCAGGCGGAGGUGCAAGUCAGCGGUCAAAUUGCGGGGCUCAACCCCGUACUGCCGUUGAAACUGCAUCCCUUGAGUGCGCGAGAAGUAUGCGGAAUGCGUGGUGUAGCGGUGAAAUGCAUAAAUAUCACGCAAAACUCCGAUUG